GUGAGUAACGCGUAGGAAUCUACCUAGUAGAAGGGGAUAGCCCGGGGAAACUCGGAUUAAUACCGUAUACCUCCUUAGGGAGAAAGAGGGCCUCUCUUGAUGCUCUCGCUAUUAGAUGAGCCUGCGUAAGAUUAGCUUGUUGGUGAGGUAAUGGCUCACCAAGGCUACGAUCUUUAGCUGGUCUGAGAGGACGAUCAGCCACAUUGGGACUGAGACACGGCCCAGACUCCUACGGGAGGCAGCAGUGGGGAAUAUUGGACAAUGGGCGCAAGCCUGAUCCAGCCAUACCGCGUGUGUGAAGAAGGCUCUAGGGUUGUAAAGCACUUUAAGCAGGGAGAAAAAGUUAUAAGUUAAUACCUUAUAACCGUGAUGUUAC
rnacentral:rRNA from 1 species